rnacentral:rRNA from 1 species
AGCUAUAAAUCCACAUAACUGAUGCCUCCGCGUAUCGACUUUGUGCGCAUUUUAGCUAUUAUGUGUUCUUUUAAUUAAAAUGAUUCUUUUUAAGAUUCAUCUAUUAAAAAUUUGCUUCGGCAUAAUUUUUUUUGAUGAUCUUGUUACUUUGAGUAAAUUAGAGUGUUCAAAGCAAACAGAUAUAGCAUUUGUGCGUUUGAAUACUACAGCAUGGAAUAACAAAAUUGAACAAGUCAGAAUUUUUUUGUUCUUUUUUCUUAUUUUGGCUUAGUUACGAUUAAUAGGAGUAGCUUGGGGGCAUUUGUAUUCAGAUGUCAGAGGUGAAAUUCUUAGAUUUUCUGGAGACAAACAACUGCGAAAGCAUUUGCCUAAAAUACUUCCAUUAAUCAAGAACGAAAGUUAAGGGAGUGAAGACGAUCAGAUACCGUCGUAAUCUUAACCAUAAACUAUGCCGACUAGGCUUUGGAUGAAAGAUUUUAAAAUAAGAGUUUUUCUUUUCUCUCCGGAGAUUAGAACUCUUAGAUUGCUUCCUUCAGUGCCUUAUGAGAAAUCAAAGUCUUUGGGUUCUGGGGCGAGUAUUCGCGCAAGCGAGAAAGUUAAAAGAAUUGACGGAAGGGCACCACCAGGCGUGGAGCUUGCGGCUUAAUUUGACUCAACACGGGAAAACUCACUAGUUUAAGACAAGAGUAGGAUUGACAGAUUAAUAGCUCUUUCUUGAUUUCUUGGAUGGUGAUGCAUGGCCGUUUUUAGUUCGUGAAUAUGAUUUGUCUGGUUAAUUCCGAUAACGAACGAGAUCUUAACCUGCUAAUUAGCGGCAAAUACGAUAUAUUCUUAUGUAGAAUUGAAUAUAGUGGAUUUGUUAGAUUUUGAAGAAAAUAUUGGAAUUACGUUAAAUGUGAUUCCUUUCCCUUUUCUACUUAAUUUACAUUUCCAUCUAUUUCUUUUUUGCGUAUGAAUGUAUUUGCUUGAUUGUA